rnacentral:rRNA from 1 species
UACGGGGGGGGCAAGCGUUGUUCGGAAUUACUGGGCGUAAAGGGUGCGUAGGCGGCGCGGUAAGUCGGGUGUGAAAUCUCGGGGCUUAACUCCGAAACUGCAUUCGAUACUGCCGUGCUUGAGGACUGGAGAGGAGACUGGAAUUUACGGUGCAGCGGUGAAAUGCGUAGAUAUCGUAAGGAAGACCAGUGGCGAAGGCGGGUCUCUGGACAGUUCCUGACGCUGAGGCACGAAGGCCAGGGGAGCAAACGGG